GGUGUGUGUGUGUGUGUGUGUGUGUGUGUGUGUGUGUGUGUGUGUGUGUGUGUGUGUGUGUGUGUGUGUGUGUGUGUGUGUGUGUGUGUGUGUGUGUGUGUGUGUGUGUGUGUGCGUGUGUGUAGGUGCAGUUGACCGUGACCCUCUGAGCCUAGACUUCUCAACGUCCUCUGAACUCAUAUUUUGGGUUUAUUGUUUAAUCACAUGGAAGAUGUGUUUUAUUUCAUUACUCAAAUGACCUGUUCAGUUUGUUGGUUGGUUUCUUUAUUCUGGAAUGUAUUUUUCUCAAUGUCACUUGUUUUAAAGAGAGUUUUUUUUGUGUCGUGUCUCACUUCAUUGUGUACGGAAAAUGCAUCAGAAUGAACUAGUUUUUAGAAUGAAUGUAAUUAUGUAAUGAAUUGUGAAAUGUACAUUUUUAAGUAAUUGUUUUGCCAUUUCCUGUCUGUCAACUGUGUUUGUCAUUUGUCAGUGUACCUCAUGGUCUCUUGUGUUUGUGUUCUCCACAUGUUAGUCUCAAAGCUUUAUUUUAAAGUCAUUAUUCACUAUUGAAUGUGAAGACUCCACUGGUAGGAAACUGUUCUGUGCUUUGAUUAUUGCCUGUGAACACUGUUGAGGAUGCAUCCUAUUCCCUACACGGACCUGUCAAAAACGUCAAAGGUAGUGCACUAGAUGGGAAAUAGGGUGCGAGAUGUUUGAACAACAGCCUUUUUUCUCAGCUCUGGGUCAUUCAGUAGAAGACCUAGACUGACUGACUAGAAAUCUCUCACACUAAUGUGAAAACGCUGACACUUCAAAUGUAUCUCAUUACUUAGUAGAAAUGUGCUUCAACACCUUGGACAAAUGCUGUCACUGAGAAGUAGGUGUAUAGUGGUUACUUUGGUGUUUUAACGCAGAAAAGGAAAAAACAAAACAAAAAAGAGAUGUAUAGCCAGCUAGCUACGGUCACUACCUACGUACGUUAAUGAUGACACAAUCGAUUCACUUCAGGAAUUUGUCAGCCCUAUAAUUGAUAAAGCACUUUCUGAACAGACACCAUAACAGACACCAUCUAGUAACAUGACUCUGUCCAUGACCUGGCCUUUUCUAUCAUAUAUUUCACAGCGAUAUUUGAAAUCUAAGCAAGCUAGAGUGCAGUCAGAUUGUGUCUCAGUAAGAACUGUAAAGCUACUGCCAUGGGCUCUGUACAGCCAUGGCUUAGAUGCAGACAAUCCAAUCCUGUAUAAAGCCCUUUCUACAACACUAUAUUAUACAGUAAAAUAUGUUGGAAAUGCAUACAAACAAAUUGCUGCUGUUUUUUUGGAGUACAUCUGUCUAUUUUGGAAUUACUGGAAAUCAGAUAUUGUACGUGGGUCAUUUAUAUUUGUACUGUUUACAACUUUUAAGUGCAUGCAAUGGACUACAAAGGAUCUAUUCUCGUUAUUACGAUACAAAGUUGACUCUUUCAGCUCUGCAGUAAGUAUAUGAUCCCUGGGGUAUUUUCUGAUGGAACUGUUGUCAGCGUAGGAUCACCAACCAAUACAACAGUUAGUGAGACGAUACAGCCUGCUUUGUAAAAAAAGGAAAUGUUCAAAAGCGAUGUUUAAGAGAAUGAUUGUAAUAUUAUAUUUGCACAGUAUAAUCGUGAAGAGAAAUAACUAAUUGUGCUGGAAAAAAAACAAAUCAACAGAAAAACCAAUCAACAUUUAGUGAAAAAUGUACAGUGGCGUGAAAGUAUUCACCCCCUUGGCAUUAUCCCUAUUUUGUUGCCUUAUAACCUGGAAUUCAAAUGGAUUUCUGGGGGGUUUGUAUCAUUUAAUUUACACAACAUGCCUACCAUUUUGAAGAUGCAAAAUAUUUUUUAUUGUGAAACAAACAAGAAAUUAAACAAAAUAAAUUGUGAAAACUUGAGUGUGCAUAAAUAUUCACCCCCCAAAGUCAAUACUUUGUAGAGCCACCUUUUGUAGCAAUUACAGCUGCAAGUCUCUUGGGGUAUGUCUCUAUAAGCUUGGCACAUCUAGCCACUGGGAUGUUUGCUCAUUCUUCAAGGCAAACCUGCUCCAGCUCCUUCAAGUUGGAUGGGUUCCACUGGUGUACAGCAAUCUUUAAGUUAUAGCAUAUAUUCUCAAUUGGAUUGAGGUCUGGGAAUGGCCUAGUCAAAGCCAAUACAUUUAAAUGUUUCCCCUUAAACCACUCGAGUGUUGCUUUAGCAGUAUGCUUAGGGUCAUUGUCCUGCUGGAAGGUGAACGUCCGUCCCAGUCUCAAAUCUCUGGAAGACUGAAACAGGUUUUCCUCAAGAAUUUCCCUGUAUUUAGCACAAUCCAUAAUUUCUUCUAUUCUGACCGGUUUCCCUGUUCCUGCCGAUGAAAAACCUCUCCACAGCAUGAUGCUGCCACCGCCAUGUUUCACUGUGGGGAUGGUGUUCUCGGGGUGAUGUGAGGUGUUGGGUUUGCACCAGACAUAGCGUUUUCCUUGAUGGCCAAAAAGCUCAAUUUUAGUCUCAUCUGACCAGAGUACCUUCUUCCAUAUGUUUGGGGAGUCUCCCACAUGCCUUUUGGCGAACACAAAACGUGUUUGCUUAUUUUUUUCAUUAAGUAUUGGCUUUUUUUCUGGCCACUCUUUCGUAAAGCCCAGCUCUGUGGAGUGUACGGCUUAAAGUGAUCCUAUGGACAGAUACUCCAAUCUCCGCUGUGGAGCUUUGCAGCUCCUUCAGGGUUAUCUUUGCUCUCUUUGUUGCCUCUGAUGCCCUCCUUGCCUGGUCCGCGAGUUUUGUUGGGCGGCCCUCUCUUGGAAGGUUUGUUGUGGUGCCAUAUUCUUUCCAAUUUUUAAUAAUGGAUUUAAUGGUGCUCCGUGGUAUGUUCAAAGUCUCUGAUAUUUUUUUUAUACCUCAACCCUGAUCUAUAGUUCUCCACAACUUUGUCCCUGACUUGUUUGGAGAGCUCAUUGGUCUUCAUGGUGCCACUUGCUUGUUGGUGCCCCUUGCUUAGUGGUGUUGCAGACUCUGGGGCCUUUCAGAAUAAGUGUAUAUAUACUGAGAUCAUGUGACACUUAGAUUGCACACAGAUGGACUUUAUUUAACUAAUUAUGUGACUAAUAAGGUAAUUGGUUGCUCCAGAUCUUAUUUAGGGGCUUCACAGCAAAGGGGGUGAAUACAUACAUACGCACGCACCACUUUUCAGUUUUGAUUUUUUAUUUUUUUUUGAAAGAAGUACUUUUUUUCAUUUCACUCCACCAAUUUGGACUAUUUUGUGUAUGUCCAUUACAUGAAAAAACAAAUAAUCCAUUUAAAUUACAGGUUGUAAUGCAACAAAAUAGGAAAACACCUAGGGGGAUGAAUACUUUUGCAAGGCACUGUAGACCUCGUUUUAUCGUCAGUUGCCGUAAAUCAAUAUUCCAUGUGAACUCACUACAGCAGUUUUGGUGUACAGGAUUUAUUACUUUAUGAAUGUAUGUAUUGCGUUGUUGUGGUUUUGUCGUAUAUUUUUGUUCAUUCAGAUUUAUUUUUCUCCAUAUACCUUCCUAUAUUACGUAAGCGUUGAUGUUUAUUUUCUGAUUCAAGCCUUGUAUUGUAGAGUAUAGCUCCAAAAGCUUGUAUUUAUCAAUGCCUUGUGGUCCAUGGCUCAGUGACUGGUAGAUUCAUCAGAAGCUCUUUAUUUGCACUCAUCUUCUACGAAAAAGUAUGCCAAUAAAAAUGUUUUCAUUUUGAA
ensembl:lncRNA